UUUCUUCAUCGAACUGCUGUGGAUGUUUGAUCGGCAAAAAAAUUCUAAUUAAACUGCUGUUAACUGAGUUAAACUGGAGUUGCCCUUGAGACACGUCCAACUGGAACUAAACUGCAGUUUGAAAUUUAGUUAAGUGGUGCAUAAUGGUUGCAUAGACGGUGCCCUCGAACUGAGCUCCAACUGCGUCUUUAUUGAUUCUAUCUUGCAUGAUGAAACUUUUUGCUGUUGAAUUUGAUGAAAAAGCAUGCAAGGGGGUGGAACUGCUGUGAGCUGAGUGUUAACUGCUCCAAAAGUAGUCUCAAGUGGUGUAGAUUAAAGAAAAAACAAGAAAAAAUUAAAGUUUUGUAAUAGAUUAAUUAAAAAAUGGUGCAUUGAAACAUUAGUCUCUGCUUUAAAAGGCAAGGCGCUAAUUGCAUUUUUGACCUUUUUGAAAUAAUAAAUGCCUCUUUUUUUAAAACUUUGAGAAGAAUUUUCUGUGGGACGUCAAGAAAUGGAAAAAUCCUCCAAAAGCCCACCAGAUUCUCCCACUUAUCCAAAACCUGUACAUGGCGUUGUACCAGGUUUUGGAAAAGGGGGAGAAUCUGGUGGCCUUUUGGAUGAUUUUUCCAGGAGUCGGUCGUGGGGGAGCAUGGACGCCUUGUUACUUUUCACUGGGGAGAUGAUUGUUUAAUCGGUAACAGAAUAAUUCCAGUUAGGCCUAGUAGCUAUGAGGUCAUCCCAUGGCCAUGGAACCAAUGGUGGGUUUGCAUUGUUUGGGCAAUGGUUGUGAUACUGGGUCAGUGUUGUUUUCUGGUGUAGGCCAUGGAACCAAUGGUGGGUUUGCAUUAUUGGCCAUUUUGGAUGGUGGGCUGGAUUCAAGAAUGGGAGCAACAAGAAUCAGGAACCCUUUUGAGAAUUGGGGCUGUUCGGUGCUGGUUAAGGUAAACUUUGUUGGGGAUUGUCAUAUUGUUUUGGAAGAGAAGAGAAUGGGGAUGCGAAUCAGAAUUAGACUAGGAACUGUCAGUUGGGAAGAAGUAGCAGUUGUUGGAAUUUGUCGAAGAAGAAAAACAGGGCACUGUUGGACGAUGGGGACUCCUAUGGAAGCCUUCCUGAUCGAUUACAGUACUGAGAGGAUAGACCAGACAGAUUGGAAUUGAUGCCACAUUUUGCAUACAUGCGUAUCACGGUAGUUGCAUAAAAAACAAAAGCGGAGAGCUGAAGCUCGGUGGAUGGUUUACCAAUCAUACUGAUCUCAUGGCUAGGACAUCGCUUUUUUAUUUUCUUGCUGGCAUGUGAUAGUUUGGGCCAGAGCUUAUGAUCAGACAAGGCAGUUUUCACUCUUUUUUUGGGACAAGCAGGGAAAGAAGAGGGGACGUGAGUUCUGUUGCAGGACUUCUUGGACGUAGAAUUCGGAGCCUCUGCAGUUCAAUGCAAUGAAAGGUUAGAAUCGUAACUCUUGCUUUAGAUACUACAAAGAAACACUCUUAGUUCAAAACAAGUAAACUGUUUGACAAAAUGAUGGCAUGUUAAAAGACCAAAGAACUUGUGGGUGUUGGGAAAAAAAUUGUAGGAAAACAAAGGUGUGUCAUUACAUAUUUCCAAGUCUUAUUUUUCUGACAAAGGUUAGUCUAUGAAGUAAUCUAAAACAUGCUCUUCUCAAUCAUGAAUUUUGCAAAGAAUAUUCUUCCCUUGAGUAUUGGAGGGCCGAUGUUUUCAGGUACAUUUCUAGAAUACCCCUACAAAGUUAUGACUCUUCAACAUAACUAUUCACCAUAGUGUUCCUUAUGGGUCAGAGGUUUGGAGUCCAAAUCUGGAAUUAGUUCACUAGGAAAUUGGAUUUGAUUUCACAAAAAACAGAUUUAAUUUACUGAAGCAUGUAAGCCGUCGUAAAUUUAUUAGUAUAUUGUCAAAGCCAUACUUGUUUAUCAGACUCUCUUUCUCUUGAGAGCAUCCCCAGUCUCAUUCGCACCCUUACAAACUCAAUGCCAUGGCGAUUCAACUACAGACUGGAAAAUUUAUCGUUAUUCAUCCCUUCACUCUUCAAGAGUCAUUUCCUUGACUACCCUGGACGUACUUGCACCUGUUACAAUUUCAAUUAAUAUGCAGCUUUAUUUACAAAUGUGAAUGGCAGAGACAAUUUACUCCUCUUUUUCGAAUUUAAAUGAGAUAUUUGGUGGAAGACACCAGGAAAAAAAUACAUUACAUAAUCUCUCUAACAUUGCAAACUGGCCCUACUACAGUUAUUAGUGUGUAGUCUUUGUGAUGCAAAUUAUUCUAUAACAACUCUUUAACUGUUGUAACUACUGUGACUUUACAGUCACGUAGAAGUCAACUAUCUCUUAGAAGUAGCUUUAGGAGAUAAUUUAGGUGUGGAUUGAGCUAAGAGUUGUUUACCAGUCCACAUUGGAGUUAAAUAAGGAGACGAUUCUCCAAUUUGUUAGUUAUAACUGGUACGUUGAAGUUAAAUAAGGAGAUGCUUCUCCAGUUUAGUAGGAAGGUUGAGGCUAGUUUGCUAGAAUUAAAGGGAUGGCUGAUAAUGGAUCAGUCCUCAUUUACUCACAACUUAUAUAUUUUUUAUCUAAUUUACUCAUGCAAAGUAUUUUGGCAUUGCGGGUGGUUGGAAGAUACAUUCCCAGAUACCAACACACGAUUUUAUAGGACAUGGCUGACAAAUAAAUAUGCCCUCAGCUCUGCAUUCGCCAAUGGUGGUGCGUCUUUUUUCACAUAACACAAAUGUAAGAAGCCUGUAAGAUAUACAGUCAAAGUCUCUUGCAAUCAAGCUUACAUUUGCAGAGAUUGCAGUUAUAUGAUAUAUCAGAACAAUUAUUAUUGUGUCAAAACUAUUUUGUGAUCAGUGUUUUGUUUUAUUUUAUUUUCUAAUUUGGAUUUGGGUACUUUAUUGAAGGCAUAUUUACAAUGAGGAUACCAUUUGAGAAGCUCGUUGAUGCCAUGGUGAUUCCUCUUUUUUUCAUUAUAUUAAUAGCUUCAAUUUUUUUAGGCAAGUCAUUUAUCCUGUGUCCUAUUUAGUAGUCAUUUUCAUGUACAUGUUCUCUUGAAGGAACUCAUGGGCCGGCAUAUUUGAAGACGGUUUAUUUAUUGUUGUAUUUGUCAUGUUGUAGUGAAUUCCCCUUUUAUUGUUAUGUUAACCCUAAAGUACGAAAUUAUGAUUGUGUACCUUUACCAUGUUAUUGAGUUUUCAUAUUAUUUUUCCUUGUACCUGGCACUUUUGGAGAUAAAAUAGAAGGUAUUGAGUAAAGGUGCUACUCUAGCCAUAGUGCUCGGAGAAUAAAGUAAAGAUGAUGUAAUACAUUUAUUGGAUUUGAGCUGAUCAGGCUCCAAGUGUAAACCUUAAACCACAGUAGGACACCUUAUUUCAAGUCUGGUUAGGCUCCAAGUGCAAACCUUAAACCACACUUAAGUAGGACAUCUUAUAUCAAGUCUCCCCUGCAAAGAAUAUAGUGUUGUACCCCCAAUUUUCUAUAGAGUACGAGAUAGGUAAGUUUGAUUGUUUGGGAAUUUUGCAAUUGGCUUACCCGUUUCCUUCAUUUAUGGAAUUUCUUUCAUCACUUCUUGUAACAUAGUCAUCUUUCUUUCUCUGCUCAGCUAGCACAAGUGCAAUAGCCCAUGUGGAAUUCAAACACCAUCAACCACAAGUAAAACAGAAAGAAUACAGGUAGCCAUAUCUAGUCAAUUGCAAGAAUCUGCUAAAUGACUUUGCAUAUACUCGAGUUAUAUUUGCUCUUGGAACUUUUCACAUAGAAAAAUUGAAUUAACCUGUUUCUUUGAUUUCUACAAUUUUAAAAAAGAAGGAAUCCCAUAACGAAUAGCUAAUUCUUGUCUCAAAUAAAGAGUUGUUGUCAUUGUAGAGCAAUUCAUUGUUGCAUAUGAGUGAACCAAUCUUCUCUAUACUUUCCUCCUUUGCAUUGUAGUCAAUUAGGACGAUAAUAGUGCCCACACUACCACUCAAAUCAUUGUACAUAACAUGAAAAUUUCAUGCCACCUUCUCAAUCACAUGAUUAUUCUCUAAGUGGUUAAUAUAUUCUUAUUAUCAUAGCAUGAAUUCUAUUUUUUCUAUAUAAUUAUUCAUAAUUGCAUGGAGAAGAAUCAAUUUUUUUGGCAGCUACAAGUUUUUGGAUUUGAAACUUUUAUCCUUGUUAAAAGCGUGAAUAUUUGUUCACAAAAGAAAGUGUUAAAUGAUUGAUUUUGUUCCUGGCAAGCAUGUUGUAUUGGAAGCUAAAUACUUUUUAAUUAUCCAAUACCUAUAUGGGACAGUUAGUGCUUUAAUUGAGGCUUGAAGACUUCUCCCCCGGUUUUUCCCACAUGUUCAGCCACACAGGCAAUGUAAGCAUGCAAGCGGUUUUGUUCCUAAACUUUUCUUCUUAAGACAGGAAAUUAUUAAUUCUCAACCACUGCUAGGCUAAUGUAAGCAUUGUAACUUUGUAAGCGAUCUAAUUGAUGACAUUUUGUUCUAUAGUUGAAAAAUUGUGAAUUCUUGUUUCUAUUGCUUAUAUAAACAUGAAUUGAUAAUAAGAAAAGUAAAUGAUUUGACCUCAAAGAUUCUUUUGGCAAUUGAAACAUCUAAAAUGGAUCCUUCUCCUGUUGAUGUCCACUGACAAGAUCUUAUGAAUUAAUCUAAACAAACGAUUUUUCUAAUUUUUUCCCACAAACAUGGGUAGAAAAAGUAUAUAGUGGUUAUUGUAGAUUUUAUGAUCAAUACUUAUUUUUGUAGAAAUUUUGGCUUCUCAUACCAUAAAUACCUUCUACCUUAGUCUUUUGACAUAAUUUCCAAUUCAUACCAAGCUCCAUUGUUGAUUUAUGGCUAUCUUACAACACUUUAUAGUUCUAGAGAUGAAGAACUUCAGUAUUCCUGUAAAAGUUGCAAUAAGAUGGCUUUUAUAGGUAUCAACAAUGCUAGCCAUUAGUGCCUCAGAUUCAUAUCCUCUACAAGAUUUCUAAGUGGCUGAUUUGUGUGAAGGUAAAUGAAAAAAUACCCAUUUUUUGUUAUUGUGUUGUGGUGGUUUCCUCUCUAGAAUCACCCAAUCCAUUUUAUAAAAAAAGAUGUAUACCUAAUUUAUAUAUCCUUGCAUUGUGCACAUAAAGAAACAAAAUUAUGUGUUCCCCUAACAGGAAAUGGGACAGCUAAUGGUCUUGAAACAAAUGACCCAUAUGGGUUUAGUGCCACUACAUGUAAUGUGGAAAAUUUCUCAAGUGUAAACAAGUCAAAUGACUUAGUAGGAAAGAUGCCACAAAUUGAAAUAAGUUAUACCAUUAUUACAAGGUGACUUUGGUUUUAACUGGCUAUCAUGACGAAUCGAUUAUCCAUUUUUUUCUAUAUAAAAAGAAAUUUGAGCUGUUUAUAUGUAGUUGUCAUUUGAGAGAUUAUUAUCAUUCUAUUCUACAAAUUUCAAUAUGCUUGCAUUGUAAAGGAAGAUGUUGGGUUAAUGUUCACAAUGGGAGUAGAUGGCUACGAAUUUUCGAUCUCAUGGUCAAGGCUCAUUCAAGGUACAUAUUGCAUUUUGCUUUGUUUCAAUGUCAUUCUUUACACAGCCAAUGUAAUUUAUUGCAUUCCUUUUCCAUUUUUUGUAUAUAGAUGGCAAUGAACCCACAAAUCCAAAAGUGUAGUGAAUACCAUGGAUAGAGGCACUAGAGAUAUUUUUAUGGAAUCACUACUAUUGUUAUAAGGUGACCUCUAUUUGAACUAGUUGUCAUGACAAAUUGAUCAACCUUAAUUAUUUUUUUAUAUACAGUAGGGAAAGUUUAACUAUUUAACUUUAUAUAGCUUUCACAUGAGAUGGUUAUUAUUCUAUCAACAAAUUGCGAUUAAGAUGGUUUAAUGUCCACAAUGGGAGUAGAUGGCUAUAUAUUUUCCAUCUAAUGGUCAAGGCUCAUUCAUAGUACAUAUGACAUUUUCCUUCAUUCUUUACAUAGUCAAUGUAUAAUAUUCUCAUUCCUUUUCCAAUUUUUGUAUCCAUGAAUCCAAAAGGUCAUGAAUAUUAUAAUAACCUCAGGGAAUGAGCAAUAUUCUAUUAAUUGUCAAUUUGAUAUAAGUCUACCUCUUAACAUGUCAAUGCGAAUGAAAAUCUUGACAUUUGCUUUUAUGUCUCCACUUUUCGGGAUUCAACCACACACGUUACAUUGUAUCGCUUUGAUAUGGGUCAAUCUUUGCAAGAUGAUAAUGUGGUUUCAUCAACACAAAUAUUAUGUGAAGUCUAUAUUUAAGUUUCAAAGGAGUUAUUAUGUAAGGUCAAGUUUUAAAAAGAGUUGUUUUUUUAACAUUUUUCUAAAAUACCUUGUGAUAUAAAAAAGUUAGGUAUUUUCUGAUCUCUUCAAAUUCUUAAAAGGUGUGUAGAUGCUUUAAACAUUUUUACCAGCAGCCCAUUGCACUCGUCAAUUCCUAUUAGUUCCUAUCCUAAUAGUGGAAUUUUCACCUACAAAUAUGGAAACAGGGAGAUUUUACCUAUCUUAGGCACAACUUUGAUGGUUUAUUGUUUGUUGAGUCCUGUUGGACUCAUGUUUUGGCAUCGACAAGUUAACCUCUUCAUACAUGGAACGGUAGCAUCCUAUUUUUUCUAGUGCUUGAGCAUACAAGUUUUGUUCUUUUGAAACAAUAAUAAUAUGAAUCAGUUUAUUUUAAGUUUUUUUUUUUUCAUUUUUCUCAAGAACUACAAUGCUUAUUUAGUAAUAGUUAUGGUUUUCAUUGAAGAUCCCCUAUUAUCCAAAACCACUCUGCCAACAUUUGGCAGGAACUAUGUUGCAGUGCAACCCUUCAUUCAUAAUGACCUUGCUAAGUUUCGAUCUAGCAUUGAGAUGGUAUGUGAGUGUUUCUUUCGGUUGAGGCCGCAUUGGACGAUGGAAAAUUUAUGUUGGAUUAGUCUAACAUGUUGCAUUGUUGGAUUUCGAGUCAGUCGACAAAAUGUUUGGAAAAUUAUACCCCAAAUUCUCUUCACAUUCAUGCUAUUGGGGUUUUCAAUAUUUAAGUAAUGGGAUGGUGUCAAGUUGUGUUAUUUAUAUAAUAUCAUUU